rnacentral:rRNA from 1 species
CAAAGCACUUUGAAGAGAGAGUUAAAGAGGACGUGAAACCGGUAAGGUGGAAACGGAUAGAGUCGGCGUAUCAUUCAAUUAUUCAGUUACAUUAUUUUUAUGUUGUGACCUCUGAGCUCCAGAUUGGGACAGAGGGAAUCAGCAUAAUUUUUUGUGGUGCAUUUACUUGAUUGGUGCUUGGGGAUGUUUGAGGCAGAUUUGUUUCCGUCGUUUUGAGGCCAGCUUGCUGGUACCCAAACGGUGUUAGCAUUUUUUGUCUUGGCCAUUUGAGUAUGGCUUACAGGCAUUUAUUGGUUCGAUCUGAGUGUAAGUUACGGUCGCAUGCGACACGUGCUUUUCAAUUAGUUCGGUCCAGUUAAUGCUCUCGUACUCCUUCCCCAUGUAAAAGCCGGUCAUCUAUCCGACCCGUCUUGAAACACGGACCAAGGAGUUUAUCGUGUGCGCAAGUUUUUUGGUGUUAAAAACCGAAAAGCGAAAUGAAAGUAAAUGGCUCUUCAGAGUCUGAUGUGCGAUCUUGUAAAAAAGUGCAGCAUGGCCCCAUUCUAACUGUUUACAGUAGGGUGGCGGAAGAGCGUACGCGGUGAGACCCGAAAGAUGGUGAACUAUUCCUGAGCAGGACGAAGCCAGAGGAAACUCUGGUGGAAGUCCGAAGCGGUUCUGACGUGCAAAUCGAUCGUCUGACUUGGGUAUAGGGGCGAAAGACUAAUCGAACCAUC